rnacentral:rRNA from 1 species
AUUCCCCUAGUAACUGCGAGUGAAGCGGGAAAAGCUCAAAUUUAAAAUCUGAUGGUCUUUGGCCAUCCGAGUUGUAAUUUAGAGAAGCGUCUUCCGCGCUGGACCGUGCACAAGUCUCCUGGAAUGGAGCGUCAUAGAGGGUGAGAAUCCCGUCUUUGGCACGGAUGCACCGGUGCUUUUGUGAUGCGCUCUCGAAGAGUCGAGUUGUUUGGGAAUGCAGCUCAAAAUGGGUGGUGAACUCCAUCUAAAGCUAAAUAUUGGCGAGAGACCGAUAGCGAACAAGUACCGUGAGGGAAAGAUGAAAAGCACUUUGGAAAGAGAGUGAAACAGUACGUGAAAUUGUUGAAAGGGAAACGCUUGAAGUCAGUCGCGUCGACCGAGACUCAGCCUCGCCUCGGCUUGGUGUAAUUCUCGGCUGACGGGUCAGCAUCAAUUUUGCCCCUUGGAUAAUGGCGAGGGAAAUGUGACACCUUUAUGGUGUGUUAUAGUCUCUCGUCGCAUGCAAGGGUCGGGAUUGAGGAACUCAGCACGCGCCUUCGGGCGUCGGGGUUUUUGCCCACGAUACGUGCUUAGGAUGUUGGCGUAAUGGCUUUAAACGACCCGUCUUGAAACACGGACCAAGGAGUCUAACAUGCCCGCGAGUGUUCGGGUGGAAAACCCGUGCGCGCAAUGAAAGUGAAAGUUGGGACCUCUGUCGUGGAGGGCACCGACGCCCGGACCAGACCUUCUGUGACGGCUCUGCGGUAGAGCGUGCAUGUUAGGACCCGAAAGAUGGUGAACUAUGCCUGAAUAGGGUGAAGCCAGAGGAAACUCUGGUGGAGGCUCGUAGCGAUUCUGACGUGCAAAUCGAUCGUCAAAUUUGGGUAUAGGGGCGAAAGAC